CCUACGGGAGGCAGCAGUAGGGAAUUUUCGUCAAUGGGCGCAAGCCUGAACGAGCAAUGCCGCGUGAACGAGGAAGGUCUUCGGAUCGUAAAGUUCUGUUGAUGGGGAAAAAGAGCGGAGAGAGGAAAUGCUUUCUGAUUGAUAUUACCCUUCGAGGAAGUCACGGCUAACUACGUGCCAGCAGCCGCGGUAAUACGUAGGUGGCGAGCGUUAUCCGGAAUGGUUGGGCGUAAAGGGUGCGUGGGCGGCGUGCUAAGUCUGGAGUGAAAGGUACCGGCUCAAGCGGGACAGGCUCUGGAAACUGGCGGGCUAGAGAGCAGGAGAGGGCGGUGGAACGCCAUGUGUAGCGGUAAAAUGCGGAGAUAUAUGGAAGAACACCAGUGGCGAAGGCGGCCGCCUGGCCUAUUACUGACGCUGAGGCACGAAAGCGUGGGGAGCAAAUAGGAUUAGAUACCCCAGUAGUC
rnacentral:rRNA from 1 species